UACGAAGGGGGCUAGCGUUGCUCGGAAUCACUGGGCGUAAAGCGCACGUAGGCGGACUCUUAAGUCGGUGGUGAAAUCCUGGAGCUCAACUCCAGAACUGCCUUCGAUACUGGGAGUCUCGAGUCCGAGAGAGGUGAGUGGAACUGCGAGUGUAGAGGUGAAAUUCGUAGAUAUUCGCAAGAACACCAGUGGCGAAGGCGGCUCACUGGCUCGGUACUGACGCUGAGGUGCGAAAAGCGUGGG
rnacentral:rRNA from 1 species